CCGCAAGACCCAGCCACUCACAGGAAUUUCGUUACACUGCAAAAAAGCUGCUGCGGAGCUGUCCAUGUCGCUUUGAGUUGGCCGUAAGAGCUUAAAUGCUGCAGCCAUGGGUGUUCGGAAGGUCUUAUACUACCUCACCGUUUUUGCGACGCUCGCCGGUUCACACGCACAGUGCGAUAAUGUGCUGCUGCCCAAUGUGGGAAGCUUAUCACAGUGCCUCGACAGAAGGCUAGGCGAGUGCGGCACGAAUACGGAAACGCUGGAAGAGGACUUGACACAGUUUUUCCAC
rnacentral:lncRNA from 1 species